rnacentral:rRNA from 1 species
CGAAGGGUGCAAGCGUUGCUCGGAAUUAUUGGGCGUAAAGGGUAGGUAGGUGGUAAUAAAAAGUCUGGGGUGAAAUCCCUGAGCUCAACUCAGGACGUGCCUUGGAAACUUUAUUACUAGAGUGCUGGAGAGGUUCGCAGAAUUCCCGGUGUAGCGGUGAAAUGCGUAGAGAUCGGGAGGAAUACCAGAGGCGAAGGCGGCGAACUGGACAGCAACUGACACUCAACUACGAAAGCGUGGGUAGCAAACAGGAUUAGAUACCCUGGUAGUCCACGCUGUAAACGAUCGGUACUAGAGUUCGUGGGAGUUGACCCCUGCGGACUCGGAGCUAACGCGAUAAGUACCGCGCCUGGGAAGUACGGUCGCAAGACUA